CUGAAGUGAUUCUCCAGCUUCAGCCUUACAGACGAGUACCACCAACACCUGGCUAAUUUUUGUGUAUGUGUGUGUGUUUUUUUGUAGAGAUGGAGUUUCGCCAUGUUGCCCAAGCUGGUCUCAAACUCCUGAGCUCAAGGGAUCCAGCCACUUCAGCCUCCCAAAGUGCUGGGAUUACAGGUGUGAGCCACCGCGCCUGGCCUUCUUUGUCCAUUUCUAAUCCUGGGGUCCUAUGACUCCUAGCAUGAAGCUUUCCUCAACAGGCUUCUCAGAUAUGUAUUGACUCCAGCCACAUGAGCUAGAGACUGUUUUCAGAGUCAUCCUGGUCAGUUCUUGACAACCUGGUAGCCACCAGACCACAGAAGGGCAGGUGAACCUGUCUCGAUCCACUUAGAGGUUCUGCAAGGUUCUUGGAGCCUGGCUGGAGGAGCCUCCUCAGCAGCACUGCUGUGUCAAUGUCUAAUAUUAAGGAUAUAGCUUAAACACAGUCUUCUCUCCAACUCCAUCUUGGAGAGGAUCCCUGGAGGUACAGAGAGAAGUAAAGAAGACAUACAGAAAUCUAUCCUAAAAUUCAUUGGAAUCUCAAGGGACCCCCAAAAAUCAAAACAAUCUUGAAAAAGAACAAAGUUGGAGGCCUCACACUUUCUGAUUUCAAAACCCACUGCAAAGUUAAAGUAAUUUUUUAAAAGUGUGGUACUAUCAUAAAGACAGACAUAUAGACCAGUGGACUAGACUAGAUAGCUCAGAAAUAAACCUUUGCACAUAUGGUCAAACAAUUUUUGGUAAGAGUUCCACAACUAUUCAAUAGGGGAAAGAAUGGUCUUUUCAAUAAAUGGUGGUGGAAAAACUGGAUAUUCUCAUGGAAAAGAAAACUAAAGUUGGAUUCUUUUUUUUUUUUUUUUUGAGACAGAAUCUUACUCUGUUGCCCAGGCUGGAGUGUAGUGGCGCAAUGUCAGCUCACUGCAACCUCCGCCUCCCGGGUUCAAGCAAUUCUCUUGCCUCAGCCUCCUGAAUAGUGGGAUUAUAGGCAUGCACCACCACGCUCGGCUAAUUUUUGUAUUUUUAGUAGAGACAGGGUUUCACCACAUUGGCCGGGUUGGUCUCGAACCCCUGACCUCGUGAUCUACCCGCCUCAGUCUCCCAAAGUGCUGGGAUUACAGGCGUAAGCCACCACACCCGGCCUGGAUUCUUACCUUAUAUCAUAUGCAAAGAUUAACUCAAAAUGGAUCUAAGAUCUAUACAUAAAAGCUAAAACUAUAAAACUCCUAAAGGAAAACAUAGGGCAAAACCUCAUGACUUUGGAUUUGUCAAUAAUUUCUUGGAUAUGACACCAAAAGCACAGGGAACCAAAGAAAAAAUAGUUGGAUUCACGGAAAUUAAAAACUUCUGUGCAUCAAAGAACACUAUCAGUAGAGUAAAAAGGCAACCUACAGAACCGGAUGGAAUAUUUAUAAAUCGCAUAUCUGAUAAGUGACCGAUAUCCAGAAUAUAUAAAGAACUCUUCCAACUCAACAAAAACAACCGGAUUUUAAAAUGGGCAAAAAACUUGAAUAUUCUCAAAAGAAGAUAUGCAAAUGGCCAAUAAAAAUAUGGAAAGACAUUAAACAUCACUAAUCAUUAGAGAAAGCAAAUCAAAACCACAACAAAUACCAUUUCAUGCCCAUUGGAAUGCCUACUAUUUAAAAAAUAAGCAUCCCUGACCCUUGUUAUCCUGCAUUGUGGUUAGUAGAUGCACCUGACUUAGCUUACUUCCAAGAAUGCCUGAAGUCUUAUUAGGUCUCCUGAAAUGGUGGUUAGAAAAAUCAAUAAACAAACAAAAACUAUUAUCCACACCAGAUCUCUCCACAGCGCUCAAAAUUAAAAUCAGGUGCUCCUGACUUGUCCCCCUCUUGACUAACCAUGUCAGUUCUCUCUAAAACUAACUGAACUCAAUGACUAGAAAUCUUGGUGAUGCUUUCAAUGUUUUCUUCUUCUAUGCAUGGUGGAGAUUUUGCUCUCUACUGGGUCACUUAAAAUGUCAUGUAUGAAUACUCCAGUAUCUUGUGACAGUUUGAUCAAAAAUAAAUAUGCAGAAUGUAAAAGCACAUUAUCCUAACAGACAGAACCCUCCUCUGUCCUGCAUGAACCACACAUUUCCCAGUUUUUCUCAGUGACUUUUUCACCCCAGAGGAAGCAGAAGAGGCCCUCGACAGCUGGAGCAAUUACAGUUGUGUUUCUUUGUAAUAUGUGACAAGGUAAUCCUUUUUCUUCAGUGGCUUAUUUUGGAUAAAACCAAGUGAAACCAUGGGUGAUGAGGUAAUUCAUUUGUCUGCUG
rnacentral:lncRNA from 10 species